AGUCGUAACAAGGUCUCCGUUGGUGAACCAGCGGAGGGAUCAUUACCGAGUUUACAACUCCCAAACCCUUAUGUGAACCGUACCUAUCGUUGCUUCGGCGGGAACGCCCCGGCGCCCUGCGCCCGGAUCCAGGCGCCCGCCGGAGACCCCAAACUCUUGUGUUUUUUUCAGUAUUCUCUGAGUGGCAAACGCAAAAAUAAAUCAAAACUUUUAACAACGGAUCUCUUGGCUCUGGCAUCGAUGAAGAACGCAGCGAAAUGCGAUAAGUAAUGUGAAUUGCAGAAUUCAGUGAAUCAUCGAAUCUUUGAACGCACAUUGCGCCCGUUAGCAUUCUAGCGGGCAUGCCUGUCCGAGCGUCAUUUCAACCCUCAGGGUCCCCGUUCCGGCGGGGAACCUGGUGUUGGGGAUCGGCCCGCCCCGUGCGGCGCCGUCCCCCAAAUUCAGUGGCGGUCUCGCUGCAGCCUCCCCUGCGUAGUAGUUACAACCUCGCAUCGGAGCUCAGCGCGGCCACGCCGUAAAACCCCCGACUUUCUGAACGUUGACCUCGGAUCAGGUAGGAAUACCCGCUGAACCUAAGCAUAUCA
rnacentral:misc_RNA from 1 species